CCUACGGGGGGCAGCAGUAGGGAAUCUUCGGCAAUGGGGGCAACCCUGACCGAGCAACGCCGCGUGAGUGAAGAAGGUUUUCGGAUCGUAAAGCUCUGUUGUAAGAGAAGAACGAGUGUGAGAGUGGAAAGUUCACACUGUGACGGUAACUUACCAGAAAGGGACGGCUAACUACGUGCCAGCAGCCGCGGUAAUACGUAGGUCCCGAGCGUUAUCCGGAUUUAUUGGGCGUAAAGCGAGCGCAGGCGGUUAGAUAAGUCUGAAGUUAAAGGCUGUGGCUUAACCAUAGUACGCUUUGGAAACUGUUUAACUUGAGUGCAAGAGGGGAGAGUGGAAUUCCAUGUGUAGCGGUGAAAUGCGUAGAUAUAUGGAGGAACACCGGUGGCGAAAGCGGCUCUCUGGCUUGUAACUGACGCUGAGGCUCGAAAGCGUGGGGAGCAAACAGGAUUAGAUACCCCUGUAGUC
rnacentral:rRNA from 1 species